rnacentral:rRNA from 1 species
AACGAACGCUGGCGGCAGGCUUAACACAUGCAAGUCGAACGAUCCCUUCGGGGAGAGUGGCAGACGGGUGAGUAACGCGUAGCAAUCUGCCUAUCACUACGGAAUAACAUCGAGAAAUCGUUGCUAAUACCGUAUACGUCCUCCGGGAGAAAGAUUUAUCGGUGAUAGAUGAGGCUGCGUUAGAUUAGCUAGUUGGUGAGGUAAAAGCUCACCAAGGCGACGAUCUAUAGCGGGUCUGAGAGGAUGAUCCGCCACACUGGAACUGAGACACGGUCCAGACUCCUACGGGAGGCAGCAGUGGGGAAUAUUGGACAAUGGGCGAAAGCCUGAUCCAGCCAUGCCGCGUGAAUGAUGAAGGCCUUAGGGUUGUAAAAUUCUUUCGCUAGGGAUGAUAAUGACAGUACCUAGUAAAGAAGCCCCGGCUAACUCCG